GAAGUAGAAAGGGCCAGGUGUGAUGGCUA
rnacentral:piRNA from 1 species